rnacentral:rRNA from 1 species
AUUGAACGCUGGCGGCAGGCCUAACACAUGCAAGUCGAACGGUAACAGGAAGCAGCUUGCUGCUUUGCUGACGAGUGGCGGACGGGUGAGUAAUGUCUGGGAAACUGCCUGAUGGAGGGGGAUAACUACUGGAAACGGUAGCUAAUACCGCAUAACGUCGCAAGACCGAAGAGGGGGACCUUAGGGCCUCUUGCCAUCGGAUGUGCCCAGAUGGGAUUAGCUAGUAGGUGGGGUAACGGCUCACCUAGGCGACGAUCCCUAGCUGGUCUGAGAGGAUGACCAGCCACACUGGAACUGAGACACGGUCCAGACUCCUACGGGAGGCAGCAGUGGGGAAUAUUGCACAAUGGGCGCAAGCCCGAUGCAGCCAUGCCGCGUGUAUGAAGAAGGCCUUCGGGUUGUAAAGUACUUUCAGCGGGGAGGAAGGGAGUAAAGUUAAUACCUUUGCUCAUUGACGUUACCCGCAGAAGAAGCACCGGCUAACUCCGUG